AUUAUUUUGGCAGAUUAGUGCAUUAAAUUUAGAAUUUAAUAAUGUAAAUUAAAUUUACAAAUAAUAC
rnacentral:tRNA from 1 species